rnacentral:rRNA from 1 species
UACGGGGGGAGCAAACGUUGUUCGGAAUCACUGGGCGUAAAGGGCUCGUAGGUGGCCAACUAAGCCAGACGUGAAAUCCCUCGGCUUAACCGGGGAACUGCGUCUGAUACUGGAUGGCUUGAGUUCGGGAGAGGGAUGCGGAAUUCCAGGUGUAGCGGUGAAAUGCGUAGAUAUCUGGAGGAACACCGGUGGCGAAGGCGGCAUCCUGGACCGAUACUGACGCUGAGGAGCGAAAGCCAGGGGAGCAAACGGG